UUCUGGCCGGCUGGCCUUAUACAUGNCAAGUCGAGCCGCAUCCUUCGGGAUGAGCGGCGGACGGGUGAGUAACGCGUGGGAAUGUGCCCUUCUCUACGGAAUAGCCACUGGAAACGGUGAGUAAUACCGUAUACGCCCUCAGGGGGAAAGAUUUAUCGGAGAAGGAUCAGCCCGCGUUAGAUUAGGUAGUUGGUGGGGUAACGGCCUACCAAGCCUACGAUCUAUAGCUGGUUUUAGAGGAUGAUCAGCCACACUGGGACUGAGACACGGCCCAGACUCCUACGGGAGGCAGCAGUNGGGAAUCUUGGACAAUGGGGGCAACCCUGAUCCAGCCAUGCCGCGUGAGUGAAGAAGGCCCUAGGGUCGUAAAGCUCUUUCGCCUGUGAUGAUAAUGACAGUAGCAGGUAAAGAAACCCCGGCUAACUCCGUGCCAGCAGCCGCGGUAAUACGGAGGGGGUUAGCGUUGUUCGGAAUAACUG
rnacentral:rRNA from 1 species